rnacentral:rRNA from 1 species
UUGGAGGGCAAGUCUGGUGCCAGCAGCCGCGGUAAUUCCAGCUCCAAUAGCGUAUAUUAAAGUUGUUGCAGUUAAAAAGCUCGUAGUUGAAUUUCGGGAUUGGCGCAUCGGUCGUGCCUCACGGGGUAUGAACUGGUGCAGUCAAUUUCUCACCUUCUGGAGAACCGCGAUGUCCUUAAUUGGAUGCCGCGGGGAACCAGGACCUUUACUUUGAAAAAAUUAGAGUGUUUAAAGCAGGCAUUUUUGCUUGAAUACAUUAGCAUGGAAUAAUAAAAUAGGACGGCAUGAUUCUAUUUUGUUGGUUUCUAGGACCACCGUAAUGAUUAAUAGGGAUAGUUGGGGGCAUUAGUAUUCAAUUGUCAGAGGUGAAAUUCUUGGAUUUAUUGAAGACUAACUACUGCGAAAGCAUUUGCCAAGGAUGUUUUCAUUAAUCAAGAACGAAAGUUAGGGGAUCGAAGACGAUCAGAUACCGUCGUAGUCUUAACCAUAAACUAUGCCGACUAGGAAUCAGACGAUGUUAAUUUUUUAAUGACUCGUUUGGCACCUUACGGGAAACCAAAGUGUUUGGGUUC